rfam:Oryctolagus cuniculus chromosome 3, whole genome shotgun sequence.
GGAUAUAAAACCAAACAAAACCCAUAAAACAAAAUUGGAAUACAGAGAAAAUUAGCAUGGUCCCUGGACAAGGAUGAUACGCAAAAUUGUGAAAUAUUCCAUUU